UGGGGAAUAUUGGGCAAUGGGCGAAAGCCUGACCCAGCAACGCCGCGUGAGGGAAGAAGGUCUUCGGAUUGUAAACCUCUGUCCUUGGGGACGAAAAAAAUGACGGUACCCAAGGAGGAAGCCCAGGCUAACUACGUGCCAGCAGCCGCGGUAAUACGUAGGGGGCGAGCGUUGUCCGGAAUUACUGGGCGUAAAGGGUGCGUAGGCGGUUUUUUAAGUCAGAUGUGAAAUCCCCGGGCUUAACUCGGGUGGUGCAUUUGAAACUGGGAGGCUAGAGUGCAGGAGAGGGAAGCGGAAUUCCUAGUGUAGCGGUGAAAUGCGUAGAUAUGAGGAGGAACACCAGUGGCGAAGGCGGCUUUCUGGACUGUAACUGACGCUGAGGCACGAAAGCGUGGGGAGCAAACA
rnacentral:rRNA from 1 species